AUUGAACGCUGGCGGCAGGCCUAACACAUGCAAGUCGAGCGGGUGAAGGGAGCUUGCUCCUGGAUUCAGCGGCGGACGGGUGAGUAAUGCCUAGGAAUCUGCCUGGUAGUGGGGGAUAACGUCCGGAAACGGGCGCUAAUACCGCAUACGUCCUGAGGGAGAAAGUGGGGGAUCUUCGGACCUCACGCUAUCAGAUGAGCCUAGGUCGGAUUAGCUAGUUGGUGGGGUAAAGGCCUACCAAGGCGACGAUCCGUAACUGGUCUGAGAGGAUGAUCAGUCACACUGGAACUGAGACACGGUCCAGACUCCUACGGGAGGCAGCAGUGGGGAAUAUUGGACACUGGGCGAAAGCCUGAUCCAGCCAUGCCGAGUGUGUGAAGAAGGUCUUCGGAUUGUAAAGCACUUUAAGUUGGGAGGAAGGGCAGUAAGUUAAUACCUUGCUGUUUUGACGUUACCAACAGAAUAAGCACCGGCUAACUUCGUG
rnacentral:rRNA from 1 species